rnacentral:rRNA from 15 species
GCUGGUUCUCUGCGAAAUCUAUUUAGGUAGAGCGUCGUACGAAUACCCCGGGGGGUAGAGCACUGGAUGGGUAAUGGGGCCCCACAGGCUUACUGAUCCUAACCAAACUCCGAAUACCCGGGAGUACUAUACGGCAGACACACUGCGGAUGCUAACGUCCGUAGUGGAGAGGGAAACAACCCUGACCUACAACUAAGGCCCCUAAUUCAUGGCUAAGUGGGAAAGCAGGUGGGACGACCAAAACAACCAGGAGGUUGGCUUAGAAGCAGCCAUCCUUUAAAGA